rnacentral:rRNA from 1 species
UACGUAGGUGGCAAGCGUUGUCCGGAUUUAUUGGGUUUAAAGGGUGCGUAGGCGGUUUUGUAAGUCAGUGGUGAAAUACUCCAGCUUAACUGGAGGGGUGCCAAUGAUACUGCAGAACUUGAGUACAGAUGAGGUAGGCGGAAUUGACGGUGUAGCGGUGAAAUGCAUAGAUAUCGUCAAGAACACCGAUAGCGAAGGCAGCUUACUGGGCUGUAACUGACGCUGAGGAGCGAAAGCGUGGGGAGCGAACAGG